rnacentral:rRNA from 1 species
AUUGAACGCUGGCGGCAUGCCUUACACAUGCAAGUCGAACGGCAGCGGGGGAGAAGCUUGCUUUUCCUGCCGGCGAGUGGCGAACGGCUGAGUAAUACAUCGGAACGUGCCCUGUAGCGGGGGAUAACUAGUCGAAAGAUUAGCUAAUACCGCCUACGACCUGCGGGUGCAAGUGUGGGACCGCCAGGCCUCACGCUAUAUGAGCCGCCCAUGUCUGAUUAGCUAGUUGGUGGGGUAAAGGCCUACCAAGGCGCCGAUCAGAAGCUGGUCUGCAGUGACGAUCAGCCACACUGGGACUGAGACACGGCCCAGACUCCUACGGGAGGCAGCAGUGGGGAAUUUUGGACAAUGGGCGAAAGCCUGAUCCAGCAAUGCCGCGUGUGUGAAGUAGGCCUUCGGGUUGUAAAGCACUUUUGUCCGGAAAGAAAUGACUCUGGUUAAUACCUGGGGUCGAUGACGGUACCGAAAGAAUAAGGACCGGCUAACUACGUGCCAGCAGCCGCCGUAA